GACGAACGCUGGCGGCGUGCUUAACACAUGCAAGUCGAACGAAGAGCGACGGAAGCUUGCUUCUAUCAAUCUUAGUGGCGAACGGGUGAGUAACGCGUAAUCAACCUGCCCUUCAGAGGGGGACAACAGUUGGAAACGACCGCUAAUACCGCAUACGAUCUAAUCUCGGCAUCGAGGAUGGAUGAAAGGUGGCCUCUACAUGUAAGCCAUCACUGAAGGAGGGGAUUGCGUCUGAUUAGCUAGUUGGAGGGGUAACGGCCCACCAAGGCGAUGAUCAGUAGACGGUCUGAGAGGAUGAGGGGGAGCAGCGGGACUGAGACAAGGAUCAGAAUCAGACGGGAGGCGGAAGGGGGGAAUCGUGCGGAAUGGACGGAAGUGUGACGGAGCAACGACGCGGGAGUGAUGACGGUCUUCGGGUUGGAAAGCAAUGUUAAUCGGGACGGAAGGGCAUCUUGCGAAUAGUGAGAAGGAUGGAGGGUAACGGAAUAGAAAGCCACGGCUAACUACGUG
rnacentral:rRNA from 1 species